rnacentral:rRNA from 1 species
AGACCCGAAACCCGGUGAUCUAGCCAUGGGCAGGUUGAAGGUUGGGUAACACUAACUGGAGGACCGAACCGACUAAUGUUGAAAAAUUAGCGGAUGACCUGUGGCUGGGGGUGAAAGGCCAAUCAAACCGGGAGAUAGCUGGUUCUCCCCGAAAGCUAUUUAGGUAGCGCCUCGUGAAUUCAUCUCCGGGGGUAGAGCACUGUUUCGGCUAGGGGGCCAUCCCGGCUUACCAACCCGAUGCAAACUGCGAAUACCGGAGAAUGUUAUCACGGGAGACACACGGCGGGUGCUAACGUCCGUCGUGAAGAGGGAAACAACCCAGACCGCCAGCUAAGGUCCCAAAGUCAUGGUUAAGUGGGAAACGAUGUGGGAAGGCCCAGACAGCCAGGAUGUUGGCUUAGAAGCAGCCAUCAUUUAAAGAAAGCGUAAUAGCUCACUGGUCGAGUCGGCCUGCGCGGAAGAUGUAACGGGGCUAAACCAUGCACCGAAGCUGCGGCAGCGACGCUUAUGCGUUGUUGGGUAGGGGAGCGUUCUGUAAGCCUGUGAAGGUGGCCUGUGAGGGUUGCUGGAGGUAUCAGAAGUGCGAAUGCUGACAUAAGUAACGAUAAAGCGGGUGAAAAGCCCGCUCGCCGGAAGACCAAGGGUUCCUGUCCAACGUUAAUCGGGGCAGGGUGAGUCGACCCCUAAGGCGAGGCCGAAAGGCGUAGUCGAUGGGAAACGGGUUAAUAUUCCCGUACUUGGUGUUACUGCGAAGGGGGGACGGAGAAGGCUAUGUUGGCCGGGCGACGGUUGUCCCGGUUUAAGCGUGUAGGUGUGUGUUCCAGGUAAAUCCGGUUCACUUUAACACUGAGGCGUGAUGACGAGGCACUACGGUGCUGAAGUAACAAAUGCCCUGCUUCCAGGAAAAGCCUCUAAGCAUCAGGUAACAUCAAAUCGUACCCCAAACCGACACAGGUGGUCAGGUAGAGAAUACCAAGGCGCUUGAGAGAACUCGGGUGAAGGAACU